GAUGAACGCUGGCGGCGUGCCUAAUACAUGCAAGUCGAGCGAACGGACGAGAAGCUUGCUUCUCUGAUGUUAGCGGCGGACGGGUGAGUAACACGUGGAUAACCUACCUAUAAGACUGGGAUAACUUCGGGAAACCGGAGCCAAUACCGGAUGAUAUUUUGAACCGCAUGGUUCAAAAGUGAAAGACGGUCUUGCUGUCACUUAUAGAUGGAUCCGCGCUGCAUUAGCUAGUUGGUAAGGUAACGGCUUACCAAGGCAACGAUGCAUAGCCGACCUGAGAGGGUGAUCGGCCACACUGGAACUGAGACACGGUCCAGACUCCUACGGGAGGCAGCAGUAGGGAAUCUUCCGCAAUGGGCGAAAGCCUGACGGAGCAACGCCGCGUGAGUGAUGAAGGUCUUCGGAUCGUAAAACUCUGUUAUUAGGGAAGAACAUAUGUGUAAGUAACUGUGCACAUCUUGACGGUACCUAAUCAGAAAGCCACGGCUAACUACGUG
rnacentral:rRNA from 1 species